rnacentral:piRNA from 1 species
AGACAGCAUUGUUGGGAAACGAGA